AUUGAACGCUGGCGGCAGGCCUAACACAUGCAAGUCGAGCGGAGCGGCGGACGGGUGAGUAAUGCCUAGGCAUCUGCCUGGGAGUGGGGGAUAACGUCCGGAACCGGGCGCUAAUACCGCAUCCUAUCAGAUGAGCCUAGGUCGGAUUAGCAAGGUGGUGGGGGAAAGGCCUACCAAGGCGACGAUCCGUAACUGGUCUGAGAGGAUGAUCAGUCACACUGGAACUGAGACACGGUCCAGACUCCUACGGGAGGCAGCAGUGGGGAAUAUUGUGCAAUGGGCGCAACCCUGAUCCAGCCAUGCCGCGUGUGUGAAGAAGGUCUUCGGGUUGUAAAGCACUUUAGGUUAGGAGGCGUUACCAACAGAAUAAGCACCGGCUAACUUCGUGCCAGCAGCCGCGGUAAUUC
rnacentral:rRNA from 1 species